rnacentral:rRNA from 1 species
UGGGGAAUUUUGGACAAUGGGGGCAAGUCUGAUCCAGCCAUGCCGCGUGCGGGAAGAAGGCCUUCGGGUUGUAAACCUCUUUUGUCAGGGAAGAAAAGUCUGGGGCUAAUACCCUCGGAUGAUGACGGUACCUGAAGAAUAAGCACCGGCUAACUACGUG